rnacentral:rRNA from 1 species
UGAUCUGCCUACCAUGGUGAUAACGGGUAACGGGGAAUCAGGGUUCGAUUCCGGAGAGGGAGCCUGAGAAACGGCUACCACAUCCAAGGAAGGCAGCAGGCGCGAAAAUUACCCACUCCCGGCACGGGAAGGUAGUGACGAAAAAUACGAAUACGGGACUCAAUCGAGGCUCCGUAAUUCGAAUGAGUGCAAUCUAAAUCCUUGAACGAGGACCAAUUGGAGGGCAAGUCUGGUGCCAGCAGCCGCGGUAACUCCAGCUCCAAAAGCGUAUAUUAAAGUUGCUGCAGUUAAAAAGCUCGUAGUUGGAUCUGGGUCGUGCGUUCACAUGUCGUUGUUUGGUUCUGGCUUCGGUCAGUUUCGAACGAUGAUGAGGUGGUCGCGCAGCCUUUCAGCCGUGUCUGCGUGAGCAGGUGUUGGCUGGCCGGUGGGCUUGCUUGCUGGCCAGUUGGCAUGUUUCCUGAUGCCUUUAAACGGGUGUCGGGGGCGUACGGCACUUUUACUUUGAACAAAUUUGAGUGCUCAAAGCAGGCCCAUGUGCCUGAAAAGUCUUGCAUGGAAUAAUGGAAUAGGACUUCGGUUCUAUUUUGUUGGUUUCCGGAUCCGAAGUAAUGGUUAAGAGGAACAGACGGGGGCAUUUGUAUGGUGGCGUGAGAGGUGAAAUUCUAUGAUCGUCGCCAGACAAACUACAGCGAAAGCAUUUGCCAAGAAUGUUUUCAUUGAUCAGGAGCGAAAGUCAGAGUUUCAAAGACGAUCAGAUACCGUCCUAGUUCUGACCAUAAACGAUGCCAACUGACG